AACGCGAAGAACCUUACCGGGGCUUGACAUCGGAGGAACAUCUAAGAAAUUAGGUUUCGGAGCAAUCCGACUUCCAGACAGGUGCUGCAUGGCUGUCGUCAGCUCGUGCCGUGAGGUGUUGGGUUAAGUCCCGCAACGAGCGCAACCCUCGUCGUGUGUUGGUCCGCAAGGAUCUCUCACGCGAGACCGCCGGUGAGAAGCCGGAGGAAGGUGGGGAUGACGUCAAGUCAGCAUGGCCCUUACGUCCCGGGCUACACACGUGCUACAAUGGGUAGGACAACGAGUCGCUAGCUAGUGAUAGUCUGCUAAUCUCUUAAACCUAUCCUCAGUUCGGAUUGAAGGCUGCAACUCGCCUUCAUGAAGUCGGAAUCGCUAGUAAACGCGGAUCAGCUACGCCGCGUUGAAUACGUUCCCGGGCCUUGUA
rnacentral:rRNA from 1 species